rnacentral:rRNA from 1 species
UACGUAGGGUGCGAGCGUUGUCCGGAAUUAUUGGGCGUAAAGAGCUCGUAGGCGGUUUGUCGCGUCUGCCGUGAAAGUCCGGGGCUCAACUCCGGAUCUGCGGUGGAUACGGGCAGACUAGAGUCAGGUAGGGGAGAACGGAAUUCCUGGUGUAGCGGUGAAAUGCGCAGAUAUCAGGAGGAACACCAGUGGCGAAGGCGGGUCUCUGGACAACACCUGACGCUGAGGUGCGAAAGCGUGGGGAGCAAACAGG